UCGUUUUGGUGUUUACAUUACGAUGUUUCUCGAAGUAUUGGCGACGCUCCUUAAGGUGAUGUCUGCUUUUGCUGUUCUACUCCUUUGUUUUGCUGUAACAUUUUAUGUCAUAUUUACUACAAUAAUACACGAGGAUUUUAAGGUGUUUCACGAGUCAUCUCUUAAAGUAAUGAUAAUGCUCAUGGGGGAACUUGACUAUUCAGGAUUUCGCCACAGAACAGAGUUGUUAACUAUGGGAAUGGAAUAUGUUGCAAUAGGUGUUUUCAUUGUAUUUUGUGUGACCGUAUCUCUGGUCGUAAAUAAUCUCUUGGUGAGUGAGCUUUCAACGACAAUAUGUUGCAAUAGGUGUUUUCAUAGUAGUUUGUGUGACCGUAUCUCUGGUCGUAAAUAAUCUCUUGGUGAGUGAGCUUUCAACUACAAUAUGUGGUCAUAUGUGUCUUCAUUGUAUUUUGUGUGACCGUAUCUCUGGUCGUAAAUAAUCUCUUGAUUGGUCUUGCCGUUGGUGAUAUAGAGGCAGUGAGAAAAAAAGCCGAAAUAAAUCUUGUUUCGCUACAGGCGAGCCAGAUUGCAGAAACAAGAGAGAAAUUAAUAUGCAAAAUGUUUCGUCGAAGAUUUUACGUUAAGACAUUGACAGAAAUGCCAAACAGACACGACUUACACUCGAAACAUCGACACAGGAAACACGUCAAUGUAAUCGCUCGCAUGUACAGAGCAAUUGUUAGAAAAAGAGCUGAGCUUAAAUGAGCCUCUUUACACUUCUGAAUAUUUAGGGAUUAAUACUCAGCUUAAUGACCAUUCAUGGAAAACUAAUCCUUGCUUUAAAUAAAAGAUUAUCCAUAUAUAUUACACAUAACUAAGAUAAGCAAUAUUGAAUGUUUAAAAACUGAAGUUUGUUUGAAAUAUCAUGGUUAUAUGCAUA